UACGUAGGCAGCGAGCGUUGUUCGGAAUUACUGGGCGUAAAGAGUGUGUAGGCGGUGCUCUAAGUUCGGUGUGAAAUCUCCUGGCUCAACUGGGAGGGUGCGCCGGAAACUGGAGUGCUUGAGCGUGGGAGAGGAAAGCGGAAUUCCUGGUGUAGCGGUGAAAUGCGUAGAUAUCAGGAGGAACACCUGUGGUGUAGACGGCUUUCUGGACCAUAGCUGACGCUGAGGCGCGACAGCGUGGGGGAGCAAACAGG
rnacentral:rRNA from 1 species